UAGACUAACUCUUAUGGAUAGAAUUUAGCUGUUAACUAAAAAAUUGUAGGAUAAAAACCUACUAGUCUAG
rnacentral:tRNA from 1 species